rnacentral:rRNA from 1 species
CGACCGGCGCACGGGUGAGUAACACGUAUGCAACCUGCCCUCUUCAGGGGGACAACCUUCCGAAAGGGAGGCUAAUCCCGCGUAUAUCGGUUUCGGGCAUCCGAGAUCGAGGAAAGAUUCAUCGGAAGAGGAUGGGCAUGCGGCGCAUUAGCUAGACGGCGGGGUAACGGCCCACCGUGGCGACGAUGCGUAGGGGUUCUGAGAGGAAGGUUCCCCACACUGGUACUGAGACACGGACCAGACUCCUACGGAAGGCAGCAG